GGAAGGAUCAUUAACACUUUUCGGCACGUUCUCGUGCUUUCAACCACAUGUCGACUCGGUAACGUUUUUGUAUUUUUCAAACCGUACUGAACACUAGCCGAACUAAAGUUUAUCACAUUUAUAAAAGUUACAACUCUUAGCAAUGGAUAUCUUGGUUCCCACAACGAUGAAGAACGCAGCGAAAUGCGAUACGUAAUGCGAAUUGCAGAAUUCAGUGAAUCAUCAAAUCUUUGAACGCAAGUUGCGCUCUCGAGAUAUCCUUGAGAGCAUGCCUCUUUGAGUGUCGGUUUCUACUAAUUCGUUCUGAACGAGUGAUUGCGAGGUUUCGACGUGAUCUCGCUUUGUCUAAACCGGGAGUGCUGAACUUUUUGACGUUUGUUCGAUCAAGUUCUCGCUUCGUUCUGUCUGUUCGGUCUUUAUCGAUCGAUCGACACCAACACCAACAACAGAUCUCAAAUGAGGCAAGACUACCCGCCGAAUUUAAGCAUAUAAUUAAGCGGAGGAAAAGAAACUAACUAGGAUUCCCUCAGUAACGGCGAGUGAAGCGGGAAGAGCUCAAACCGAAAAUCACUGUCGCCAGGCAGCGAAUUGUGGUCUAUUGAGGCGUGUCUCAGCAGUCGGUCCCGGCCUAAGUCCAUUGGAACAUGGCAUCAGAGAGGGUGAGAAUCCCGUCUUUGGCUGGGGUGCCGUCGCGUUCGAGCCGUCCUCGAAGAGUCGGGUUGCUUGGGAGUGCAGCCCUAAGUGGGUGGUAAAUUUCAUCUAAAGCUAAAUACAUGUGGGAGACCGAUAGCGAACAAGUACCGUGAGGGAAAGAUGAAAAGAACUUUGAAAAGAGAGUUAAAAAGUACUUGAAAUUGCUGAGAACGAAGGGAUGGCGACUAGUAAUGAUCGGGGUGAUUCUUUCCGGUAGGCUGUCGAUAUUGGCGGUGCGUUCGAUUGCAUUCCAGCUUCGACGUGUUGUCAUUGGUCGGCAGACUCCGGGUCCUGUCGCCCUGUGUCAAGGUCAGAAUGGGUUCGUAUCGGUCGAAACCGCUCCGGGCAAGGUAGCUCGCUUCACGGCGAGAACUUAUAGGCCUGCGGGCGAUAGAUCGUAACGGUCCGAGGUGUCGAAACACGCGCUCUAAGCUUUGGCGAGGCUGUUGCUGUUGGGUCGGCGUCGUUGGGGAACAAAGUUCCGUCUCGAUUGUCGGCUCGCACUCGGCGGUCCGUCCAUAUGUCGUGUUGACGAUUCUGACGAAAUGGUCGUCAUUCACCCGUCUUGAAACACGGACCAAGGAGUCUUACAUAUAUGCGAGUAAUCAAGUGGAAAACUUGCUUGCGGAAUGAAGGUGAAUGAGUGUGAUCGCCUGUCCCUAGUGGGCGGCGAGCAACACCGGGCGGCUAAGAUAACUGUACGACCAUGAGCAUAUCUGUAGGGACCCGAAAGAUGGUGAACUAUGCUUGAGCAGGAUGAAGCCAGGGGAAACUCUGGUGGAAGUCCGAAGCGAUACUGACGUGCAAAUCGUUCGUCUGACUUGAGUAUAGGGGCGAAAGACUAAUCGAACUAUCUAGUAGCUGGUUCCCUC
rnacentral:misc_RNA from 1 species